UUAGUGAAUUUGCACUCACAUCACCACCGUUGUUGAAUAAUCCCAUGAUUCAACUUGCAGGCAAAACCAUUGAUUGCAGAAAAUAAGAUCAACGAGCUCGUUGAUCCAGCUCUCGGGAAUAACUAUGACCUGGACCAGUUAAAAUGUGCCAUUGCAACAGCUUCUAUUUGUAUAAAUCAGUCAUCGAUGGAUCGACCCCAAAUGAGUCAGGCAUGUCCUUUUUCAUUACAUGUUACUUGCAAUCCAAGUAAAACUGUAGAUAAUUCAGAAACUUGCAUUUUCACUGCAGGUUGUAGGCAUGCUUAAAGGUGAUCCUAAAUGCCUUGAGAUGCUGAAAGAACAAGAAAAGUGCCCUCAUCGGAGGACUUUCUCCGACGAGAUCUUUCAUACAGAAGAAUACAAUUCAACUAACUGUUUGAAUGGUCAAAAUUCUCAGAAUGACAAAGUUUCAUAAUGUUUUUUUUUUUUUUGUAAAAUAUAUAUUCUGAAAAUUUGGUUCUUCUCCAAGAAUUUUUUUUUCCAAAUUUUGAUUGUUGAUUCUUCUAGCUUUUUACAUCCUUUUUUUUCAAGUUGUAGUUUCCAUCAAAUGAACCCAAACAUUUGAAGGAUUGGAACAGUUUGAAAGAAGGGAAAAAAAGAUAGACCAGUCGAUACAAAAUAUAAUAUAAACACCACAUGUUUUUUUACAUAUUAAUAAUUUAUAUUCUAUUUAUAUUUAUAAAAAAAUUCCAAACAUGACACACACACAUAUAUAUAUUAACAUAUUAAAAAAAUCGCUUUACAAUUGGGAUUUACAAAUUAUAAUCAAUAUUUUGAUAAUUUUAAGAUAAUAUUUUUUUGAAGAUAUAAUUUUGAGAUAACAUUAUUAUUCUUUUAUUUAAACAAUUGAAAAAAAAUACUUAAAAGGUAAUUUUUUUUUGGUAAUGAAAGUAAGGGUAAAUCUUAUAACAGUCUAGUGAACUACAUGAGGCCCACAAAUGUUUAUAUGUUUUGUCAAAAUGGUCUUAAUUGUAUUUUUGAGUCUUUUUUAGCCAUUAAUUUUAUUUUUUUAAAUUUGUUUUGUUUUAUAUAUGAUUUAUUUUAUUAUUUUUCACAUGUAAUUAUCUUAUUGGGUUACUUAAGUAAUAGAUUACAUCUUAUUAAAAAUAUUUCACAUAUGAAAUUCUAUAUCAUCCCGUUAACUUUUUUAACAGUACUUUCAUCAAAUCUGUUAAAAAAAUCAAUUUGAAAAACAAGAAUAAAGGUUGAUGGCUAAAAAAGCUCAAAAAUACAAUUAGGGUCAUUUUGACAAAAUAUAUAAACAUUAGUGGCCAAAUUUACCAUUAAACCAAAAAAAAUUUAUGAAAAGAAAGCAUUAUUUAACAAAAUAAAACGAAUUAGAUACUUUAAAUCAUAAUUAGUAUUUGAUUUUACCAAAAGAUGUAAAUAAUUUUACGAAUACACCCCAUUGCAAAAUUGUUGAGACGACACCGUAUUAGUUCCUUAAAAAUAAAAAUAAAAAUAUCGUAGCUUCUGGCUAUAGCCUUACUACAGGUUUAACUCAGAUUAGCAAACUACCAUUUUCCCGAGAAAAUUUUUGACCUUUUCUUUCCUGGAAAAUCUUUCGAUCUAAGGUUUACAUUCGAUGGCUAUUGAGAGGAUUUAUUCUCUGCAAAUCCUGAUAUUGAACUUAAUCGCUUCAAUCUUGUACCAAUCAUGUGAGUCCUUCUUAACUACUCCAAGCUCCAUUAUCAAUCCUUCUAAAGUCAAACAAGUUUCCUGGAAACCUAGGUCACUUUCUAUCUCGAUCUCUUUUCACUUCGCUGAAGAAUUUAGUAAAUGUUUGAAUUUUCUUUAAUUUGUUUCUAUUCUUUUGCAGGGCUUUUGUCUACGAAGGCUUCUUAACGGACCUCGAAUGCGAUCAUUUGAUCUCUCUAGUAAAUUCGACUCCAAAUUUUCGUCUAUUCCUUUUUUUUUUUUUAAUUUUGAAUUCAUUUAAUGUUUCUUCUUUUUCUUUGUAAUUAAAGGCGAAAUCGGAGCUAAAGAGAUCUGCAGUUGCUGAUAAUGUUAGUGGACAGAGCAAGCUAAGCGAAGUCCGUACGAGCUCAGGGAUGUUUAUUCCUAAGGGAAAGGUUAAGUCGUUUAUCUUCUCUCUUGUAGAUUGUAGUUGUUGUUUCCCAAUCUUAUUUUAUCCAAUUAUGGUGAUCUAAGUUGCUGACCUAUACUUAUGGCUUAUGGGUACUCUAUUAAUUACAGAGGAACUAUUUAGGUAGGAUUUGAUAAAAAUGAUAACUACAUUAAUAGUUCCAUAGAUAGAUAGGCUUGGCUUUUAUGGUAUUUUAUCCUAUCUUACCCGAACUCUUCGUUUUCUCAGAAGUACUUGAGCUCAAAAUUUGCAUUCUAGGAUAUAGGAAUGGUUACAUGAUUAUCCAAAUAUGUGGAGAAACUUAAAAAUUAAGCAUACUUGUGUCGAACACAAACUCAUAUCUGUCAUUCAUUCUAGUCUUGGUAAUAUAGGGUUAUCUUGAUGAAAACAUAUACUAAUGACGGUUUGAAGGGUUCAAUAUGACAAGUUAUCCAUCAAUUUUCUUAAGGAGGCACUCAACAUUGCAAUGGUUUUGCGUUUGAUUUUUGUAUAUUUGAGCUACGUGAUGCUUACUUUCCCUUUUAUUUCUUUUUAGGAUCCUAUUGUUGCUGGUAUAGAGGACAAGAUUUCAACAUGGACUUUUCUGCCCAAAGGUGCGUAUACCAUGAAUUGGCCCUACUAAGAUCGUGUUCUUUAGUUCUGCAGUGACAUUCUAAUUAUAUAUGAAGAUUUCUUGCACACCACAAUGAUAAUUUAGUUAGAUCAUGUUUCUAUGAUUACACUCAUUAAUUUUCAUUAUUCACGAUAUGAGAACUAGCAAGUAGGAUAUGGGAAGAGAUCAUAUUAAAUGUUUUAAGUAGGAUAAAAAUAGUUAUUUUUUGAACGUUCUAUUUGUUUGUGAACUAUACAUCUGGAUUGCUAAUUUAUGCAUUUGGAAUUUAAUUUUUAUGUGCUCCAUGAUCUAUCAAUAUAUCAAUAUCAAAGUCAAUGUCAUCAUCUGAAAGCUUCAUGAUACUUUGGCUGGGAGUGGACUGAUAAAUCUCAUGUUUAUGUACUUAAUAUAAAUGAGAUACAUAUGUGUUUGAGGGUUCAGAGAGUGAAAAAUAGCAAUUGUGGUUUAAUUAAGGAAGUACAUGCUAACAUGAAUUUUGUUUUUCACAUUUCCAGAAAACGGGGAAGACAUACAAGUGUUGAGAUACGAGCAUGGGCAAAAAUAUGAUCCACACUAUGAUUAUUUUACUGACAAGGUUAAUAUCGCUAGAGGUGGACACCGCAUUGCAACUGUACUGAUGUAUCUUACAAAUGUGACCAAAGGUGGUGAAACUGUAUUCCCUCAAGCCGAGGUUUGUUUAAGUGUCCUUAUGUCCAUUAGAUCUCUUCUUUUGUUGUUUCAUAUGCUUGCAAUCAUAUGUUCUUUCAAGACUGGUGUUUUCUGGUGGCUUGAACAUUUUUUUAACUUCAUGAUUUUUGUUUAUUUAAAAAGGUUUCUGAGAUUCGUUUGCAUACAAGAUGCAUGCUCAUGGAUGGGGAUGACUACAGUUAUCAUCUCUCUACAAGUAGUAAUUAUACAUUAUUGCAUUAUACAUUUGUGAAGAAAUAGAGAGAAAAAGGUUGAGAGAAUGUAUAUACACAACCUUAUUUUUGAGAAAAAGGUUGAGAGGGUGUGGUUCUAAUUGCAUGGGAAGGAGCAGGGUCUGAAAAUUGAACCUAACUGAUUAAUUUUUGGAGUAUUUCUAUCUGUUCUUUGCUGAAAGCUAGGAUUCGGCUGAUGUAGAAAAAGAAUUUAUGGGAAAAGGGGGAUUUGGUUUUAGAAACAACUCUGACACCAUGAAGAAAUAGAGAGAACAAGGCUGAGAGGACGUAUCUAUUUUUCAUUUCUGCUUUUUCUACGUAGGCUGCUACUACACAACCUUAAUUAUAGUACAUGGAGGAAGAGAAAAUCUGGAAACAAGAAUCACUAACUACCAGAUUUUUCCUCUAUCAUCUCCCCUAAAAUCAGAAACAUAAUAUCCUAUUUAAAUCCUGAUUUUAUGAGAUAUGAUUUUAUGGUAUUUGGUAAUCCCCUAAUAUCCAUAUUAGCAACACAUACAUUUUCUCAUUUAACUUCAUUAUCAGGAACCUUCACGUCGUAGAACUCCUCCAAAAGAUUAUCUAUCGGAAUGUGCAAAGAAGGGAAUUGCUGGUAAGUAACAUAAUAGUUGACGUCUUUUUUUCAAAUAUCAUAUGCUUUUUUAUUUUCGAUAUUGAUAUUUGUUGUUGUUGUUGUUUUUAUUUUCUUAUUUCUAUAAAUUAGUGAAACCACGAAGAGGUGAUGCACUUCUCUUCUUCAGUCUCUUCCCAACUGCUAUUCCUGACCAGAACAGUCUCCAUGCUGGGUGCCCGGUGAUUGAAGGUGAGAAAUGGUCAGCCACAAAAUGGAUUCAUGUUGAUUCAUUCGAAAAGAACUUAGACAUCGGUGGUAACUGCACGGAUUUGAACGAGAGCUGUGAGAGAUGGGCUGCUCUUGGUGAGUGUACCAAGAACCGAGAAUAUAUGAUCGGAACUGCAGAACUUCCUGGCUAUUGUAGGAGAAGCUGCAAAGUAUGUUGAAGGUAAACUACAAGCUUCAAUGAUAGUAUAUCUGCUGCUGCAUUUUCUGUUGUAAGUUUUUUAUUGCUUUUUUUUUUUUAGUUUUUGGAUUCAAAUUUACAUUCUUAUGCUACAGUUUUCACAAACAUAGUUGAAAUCCAUGUAUUCUAAACCUUACUUUCAACUUGGUUAACAUAUCCCCCCGGAAGCUUCAGAUUUGUCGUAGUCUUUUUAGAUUGCUAGCGUUUCACUUUCAGCUGAAAUCUGAAAAUAAUUUUUUCCAUAUUGUACUUUUGAUUUUAAAUAGCAGUAUAUGGAUGUAAACUUUCUUCAACCAUGGACUUUAUUUUGCUUUCUCUUUUAAUCUGUAGGUUCUUGGCUAGAGUGAGUGUUGUUUAUGUUAUGGUCCUGUUAUGAAUUUUAUAUCGAAUGUAUACUUAGAGUUGGUCUUAAAUUCUGCGGACUAAAUCGUAAGGGCCACGGGCUGAAGCUGACAAUACGUUGCAGUUGAGUGUAGAGUACUAGUGAUAUGCCAUUGAAGCUAGUUUGUGUAGAUGAGCAAUGAAUUUCACAAUGGUUGCAUACUAGAUUUGAUACUAGGAUGUAAGUGUUUACACAACCUUUACCUAGAUGGAAGCGGAUAAUACCUUUCAAGUUUGUGUAGAGUGUGAUAGUUUAGGUGAAUUAUCAUGAAACUAGGAUUGAGGGUUACCCAUGCUAAAGGUUUUGGAUCAUGGAAUGACUCAAAGAUUUUUAGGAUCAACUUUAAGGCAAACCUUAUGGGUCGAUUUUUUUUUUUUUUUUUGGAAAUACAAUAAUGUUUUGAUAUUAUAAAUAAAAAUUAUAAUUCCAAAAAGCAAAUUUUCAUAAUUAUUGAAAAAUUUUCAAAUUUCCAUCAUGCAAAUAUAUAUUGUUCAUGUUAAAACCGGUUGAUUUUACAGUUUAAUUCUGAGUUAAAUAGAGCUUGCAAAACAAGCCUGAGCUCCAAAGUUGGCUUGGAUUUUAUAUCUGAUUAGCCAUUAUAGAUAUUAAUAAUUUUAUGGUAUUAUUUUAAAAAUAAAUAAAUUAUAUAUAUUUUUUGAAAAUGUAUUCAUAAGUAGAGGUGCUUAUGAGUUAGGCUUGGGUUGGGUCUAUACAAGGUAUUUAGAUCAUUUUUUUAAGUCUUAGCUUGGCUCGAAAAAUGGGUUUGCUUUUUUGCUCAAGCCCGAUUCAGUUUAAUGAAGGUAAAUUCGGGCCUAACUUGACUCGCUCAUAUUUUAUUUUUUAAGAUUAUUUUUAUUUAAAAAUAAAAAAAAUUAAAAAUCUAAUACACUAAAUGCACUAAAAAUGUUAAAAUAAAAGUUUUCUAACAAAUUAAAAAUAUAUUAAAAAGUAUUUAUAUUAAAAACAUUAUCAUAAAUAUAAUGAAUGUUUUAUUAUAUUAAAAAACACAAAUUAAUAUAAUUAAUAUUUUAUUGUAUAUAAUUUUUAAAAUUUUAUAUUUUGGGUUGGGUUAUUUAGUUGAGUAAGUUUUUUUUGUAUGGUUUUGGGUAAUGAGUUUAAUAGUUAUUGGGUUAGUGAUUUAAUAUAAAUAUAAAUAUAUAAUUAAUAUAAUAUUUUUAUAACAUAAUAUAUUCGGUCAAUUCAUGUCAGGUUCAGGCCAAAAAAAUCUUACCCAAAGCUCCGCUUAUAUAAAAAAUAGGCUUCAAAUUUUACUUAAGCCUAUUUUUUAACCUUGUAUUUUUGUCUAAACUUUUCUAUUUUUUAAACAGAUUUUUAAGCCCAGACAAGUGGUUUGGCCCAUAAGUAGGCCUGUUCAUAAGCAUUGCAUAUUUAUAUUAAUAUUUUAUUAAUAGGAAAUGUAAUUAAUAGUAAUUUUUUUACCUUAAAUUAUAAAGUGAAAUAAUUUUUUAAAAAUAGUAAUUUAAUAGAAAAUGUUUUUAAUACUAUAAUUAUAUAUGUAUCAUAAAUAUAUAAAAUUAAUAAAUAUUAAAAUCUAUAAAUUUAAACUUAAAUGAUAAUACAAUAAUACAUUAUAUAAUUAUUACCGAAACUGAUUACCUAACUUUACCUUCAUCUGUUCUACUAAAUUAGCAUAUUACGAGUACAUAAAAUAAUAUUAUAAUAUAUAACUAAUACUAAAAAUAUUAAUACAUAUAUAACUAUUAUUAUAAUAUAGAUUAGAAUAAAAGAUAUAUUAUUACAUGAGAUUAUAAUGUUUAAUAUUUUUGCACAUAUAUAAACUAUUAAUAGAUGAUAAGAUAUAGCAUUAUAUAAUAUAGUAGGAGGACUAACUGUACGAAAUAUAUAAGGACUUAGAGCAUAUUUCAACUAGUAUAACAAUGAUAUAUGAUAAUAUGUAAUAUAUAAUGUACUAUUAUUAUAUUAUAGAUUAUAAUAAAAGAUAUAACAUCAACAAUUAUGUCUCAUUUAGUACAUUAAAAUACAUUUCUAUAAUUACAACUAGCAAUAUAUAUAAUAUUAUUAAAAUUUUAAUAUAUUAAUAAAAUAUUAUUUUCUAAAUUAUAUAUUGAAUUGGGAUUUAGCUUUUGCAAAUUAUAUUUGAGUAUUGGGUCUAAUUACUUUUUAUUUUGGACUUAUAAUUAAUUUAUUUUGAGUUUGAGUAAUAAUGAGUGUAAGGCCCAAUUUUUGCCCGGACCCACAUAGAUAAUAAUAAUACCAAAUAAAAUGUAAAGCCCAAAUCCAAAUAGCCCAAGACACAUAAACCCUAGCAGCAAACCUAGCGCCACAGCAACCUCACCUCAACGUUGCAGCACUCCGCACGUUUUCCUUCCCUCGCACGCCUCCGCAAAUGUCGCACACUCCGCGCACGUCUUUUACGUUCUGCAACAGACCACGAACAGUAGAGAUAGCAGAAAAUAUAGUAAAAAUUAAAUAGAUUUUAUUUUUUAUUUUUUAUUUUUUAUUCUUCUCUAAGAUUCGGUUAUAAAGACCGAUGGAGGCUUUUGAGGGAGGAAAAGAAAACAAGAAAUUGAGAAGAGGGGUUAAGCAUAUUGAAUCAAAAAAGAAAGAAAUUAGUGUAAACGAAAUACAAAGGGAGAAAAUAAAAAUAGCAGUGGGAUUGAAGGUGAUUUUCUGGGUCUAUUUUCUUCUUGCUCAUUGAUUUCUUUGCUUGUUUUUUUUCUUUGUGCACCAAACAAAAAUAAAAGAAAGAGGAGAAAUCAUUACCAAAAGAGGCGCGCCGUCGACAUCUUUGCUUCUCUUCGUCUAAAUCGAAGUUGAAAUGGGGGAGGUCGGCUUGAAGAACAGAGGAGAGGAUGGAGCAGUUCUUGAGGCUGCUGUUACCGCAAAUGGAAUAGGGUUUUAAUUAGAGUUUGAAAUGGGUUUUAACUUUUAAGCAUUGAUGGGUUAUUUGUGUUUUUAAUCCUUCCAUUUUAUCCCAUCAUUUCAAAACCAUUUUUUUUGUUUUCAAAUUUUUCCAUGAAAUAUCGAAUCUGUUUUAUUUUAGUCCAAUAUGGCGCAACGUUUUGGGUGGUUUGGGUAAAUUUCUCUUUGGGUCCUCCUCCUGUUGCGCGCGUUUUGAUUUGGUCCCUUUUCGUGUUUUCUAUUUUUGAAUUCAGCC
rnacentral:lncRNA from 1 species